AAGCACUUUGCGUUUGUUUGUGUAUCGUUGCAUUUUUUGCGAUGGGAGUGAAAGCCCAAACUACCGAUCGCACUGCACAGUUCGAAGCCCUAUGUGACAGAUACAGGCUGGUGGUUGACACGUGUGAAGAAGACCUAAGAGGACUUCUUACAUCUACUGAACAGUCCCUGUUCGAUGAAGCUGAGAAUGAUAUGGUGUGUCUGGUAGAGGAAGGAGAGCAGAAUAGGGCUGAGGCCUGUGAAAUCUUAGGAAAAAUUUGCCUUGAAGUUGUUGACUGUUCCUCUACAGCUCGUUUUAGACGUUCUUCGUCUGUCUCUGCCGAAUCGUCAUCCGUUGAAUCUAGUGAAACAGAAUCUAGUGAAACAGACUGAGGAGGUCAUCGCAGGCCAACGGUUGAAACACAGUAUCCCAUAUUUGCCUCGAGUGUCGUAAUGUGUAUGAAGAUCACUUCUUCAUUCGACUUUUAUAUAAGUAAAAGCACUCUGCGUUUGUUUGUGUAUCGUUGCAUUUUUUGCAUUGGGAUUAAAAGCCCAAACUACCGAUCGCACUG